CUUUACAUAAGCUGAGUCCAUCUAUUCUUUCUUUCCUUUCUUUCUCCUGUUAUUUAUCUUUCUUUUAAUGAUUUAAACACUUGUCCUUUAGGUGCUGCAGAGAUCGAUAGAUGAUAGAUAUUGUGAUUUUUUUACUGUACUUUGGUGCAGUAGAGUGAGUGCUUUACACCUGCACCUGUGUUCAUAGUCAUUGUUUCUUCUUAUUAAGUAUAAAUGUGCCAAAAAUGUAGUAGUAAAGGAACCCAUUUCUGUGCCCACUGAUCCUCUGAUCCUCUCUGUUUUUCCUCUUUAACUCCAGAGAGAGAAAAUUGAAGACUCCAGAAACAAAUGAAUGGAGCUUUUUGGUGAGAAAAGCGCUCACUCGAUCGCCUGCUCAUGACGAAAAACGCAUCACUCUGUGUCCAGCGCAGGAAUGUCGCCACAGGAGAUGAAAACAAAAUACUGCUAUAUUAUGUUUUCAAGCUCAGCUUUUCCUCCACGCAAAAAUCUUCCAGAUUCUCCUCGACAGCUUUUACUGCUUCUUCUCCGCUCUGAAGAUGAUGAACAUGAAGGAAGGAUUUCAGUCUGGGAAACAGAGAGAAGUCAGCACGAGUGAAUGAGGUCCAUGGAGUAACUGAGCUGCGGGGAGCUUUUGAAAAUGUGAAGCUGUGGUGUGGUGUGGUCUAAUUUAGUGUCAUCUCCACUUUGUAUUUGCAAAAACAAAUUACACAAGUGCAAUUUAUGUCAAAGAAACAAGCAAUUUUAAGCGGUUCUACGGAAAUCCGGCCUGUUUUGUAGUGAGAACACGCCGUAAACCUGUGUAUCCCAUAGACCACACCACUGGUUUGAGGUGAAAAAGCACCUUAACUCAUUGGCUGCCAUUGAUUGCUAUAGACGUCAAUUCGGCCACUGCUCUGAAAAUGGCUGCCAGCCAUUAAGGAUAGAAUAUAAUUUUAUUUAAAUAGGGACAACACAGUUAACAUAGUGCCAGUACAAAUAAUGCAACUGAUGUGCUGCACGAGUUUAUAGCGAUUGUGAGUUUGCAACUCUUUUACACGAACAAACACGUUAAAACUACACUAAAACACAGAACUACGUGCUAAAAUGACAUCACAACUACACUUACACUAAACUACAUUACACACAAUAGCAGUCGUCAAAAGGUAAAUAUAAAACAUAAUCAGUACAAUACAGUAUGAUAAAACUACACUAAAACACAACUUACAAGUCAAAUAAACCUAAUGUACCUAAAACAAUGAACGGGUACAGGGGAAACUAUUGUUUCUUGUGUUUCUAAUUCUUUCUCGGCAUCACUUUGAGAUUAUAAUCCAUGCUUUUAUCACCGACUUGGUAUGAAACACACUAUAAACUGUCCUAUACCCUUUUUUUUCUCAGCACCUAUAGGCAAUUAUAUAAAACACACCUGAGCAAAAGGUGCUCACAUGUUUUAAAUUGGAUUGUUAACUCUGAGAUGUAUUUGUCAUGUCUUCGGCCAACUGUGUUGUCUUUAAAGUGCUUUUUGUAUAUGAUGGCUGAGUUUCAUGUGAAUUUACCACAAGUUUUUCUGUGUUUUUAUGCACAUUUACUGGCAUCAGUUUGAUAUUUUUCACAGUAAAACGAUUGUUUUUAAGUAAGAGGGCUCAGCGCUCCCCGUUACCCGGUUUAAAAAAGAAUAUUCUGCUGUUUUAUCGUAAACAAAUCCCAUAUGGAGAAAGAAUAAUGAUCCAAUCACUUAAACAGUCACAUGUGCUUCUUUACCCACUUGUGCAUUUCACUUAUAAUGUGACAGCAGCGAUGAAUGCAGUGAAUAAAAUCCUUGUAUUUUA